AGAAACCAUUUGAUCUGCAUGUUGGACCAAAUGACCAGUGGUUUGACUGAGUUCACAGCCAUCGUGGCUGCUCUGGCGGUGUGUGUCCACCCAGGCUUUGUUUGUGUGCUGGCAGUCUCUGCACCGAGAACACACAGCAUAUGCCAGGUGGCCAUGUGUCUGAGGCAGAGGGAAGGGAGAACAAAGCAGAAAAAGCUUCCAUUUGGACAGAGAUGCUUUAAGCCAUCCGACUGCCAGUAACAUAUUAAAGAGAAAAGAAAAUGCAAUGAUGCCUGAAUAUACUCAACAGUAAACAACUUCAAGCCUGAGAUUCAGAUCACAAAUCUUCCUCUGCUGCUGCUGAUGAGCUCAGCUUGAGCGUGGCUGCAGGAGACAAAGAAACUUGAUCCAAGAGGAAAAUAAGAAGAGAUCUUCACACCAAUUUUAAUCUAUCUCAGAUGUAUGUUUUAAGAAUCUAUUGUAUCAUAACCUUUGUAUUAUGUCAGAAGUCUGUUCUGUUGAAGAACUGGUCGCUCUCUUGCUGGUUCUCCAACAAGCGCUGUUUUCGCACCUGGAUGAGGACAUUUUGCCAUGUUGUGCUGGAUUGCUGUUUGUCUCUACGUGUGGCUCCUCCAGGGUUAGACUGUGUGAGCUGAAUCUUGACUUGUUUUUGACUGCCUUAUCCACGGACGCACCUGACAUACUUUCUCUCGGUGGAACAGCAAAUUGGAUUUUUCAAGAGCAGAUGAAAGAGAAGCAAGAGAUAGCAAAAGGAACAUAAAGGAGGAGGCAAUACAAGAUCCUGAUUGUAGAUACCACUAGUUUCCAGCUAGUAACUUCUCCUAAGUAUCAAGUAGACAUGUAGGUCCUUUUGGCUGUGGCACGUGGGACGCCACCACAGCAAGGCCUGAUGAGCAGUACCAAUGUCUGCACCCAGGAUCCAAACUGAUGAAACCCUGGGCCGCCGAAGCAGAGCGUGCUAACUUAACCACUCGGCCACGGGGCCGGCCCCAAAACUCUACAUUCUUAUGCAAUGACAAAGUUCAGUGUAACAAAUUGUGUGUACCAUUUAACAGAAAAGUUUUUCAGUUCCGAAUAUGUAAUGUUGAGGUCUAUAAAUAAACAUUGAUUUUU
rnacentral:lncRNA from 1 species